CAAAAUACACGCUGUUCUUUUGUGCUCAUUAAAUUCAUGCUGCUGCAGUUGUUAACAUCGUGGCCUCAAACUCGCAAUCAGCAGGAUUGACUUCAGCUCCAGAGUUGACUUUGGAAUUUAUUUCUGACAUUCAGCCAUCUCUAGCAUAGAAUUAUUUGGGGGGAUUAGAUAAGGGAACACUGAAGACCUCACACACUGUCUGAAUAUGGUCAACAUUUGCUGUCUGCUGAAUCAGAAACCUCAAUUACCCUGAAAAGAUGGCUGGCUGUCACACUCUUAGCACAGGUCUCUGCUUUCAGAAAGGAGCCCGUCUCACGGCUCAGGAAGCCUGCAGUGCACAGUUAAGGCAAGGAUGCUCUUCACCUCACUCUUUGUCUCAGGUUUUCUCACACAUUUUCUGAGAGAAGAUUUUUCAGGUUUGAAGCUCAACAUACAGGAGAGUGGGGGACACAGCUCCAGUCAGGAAAUCUUAUACCAGAACAUGAAUCUCAAGUCAACAACCCAAAUUUCUACCUUAAGAUAUUUCCAAAAGAAAACCAAACGGAAAUGACGAAAAGCAAAGAUCAUGGAAGAAAUCAGAUUAGAAUCAGUAACAGUGAUGGACGUUUAUUAAACCAAAUUCAUUUUUAAUU